UGUACGACAGAGGUUGCGCGGUAACGUGAAAGCUAAAUGUGGUCAUCCACAGUAUAAAUGAAUUAUCAGCAGGUGAUGCAGUGGGAUUUAGUGUUCUUCAACAUCAAGCAGAACGGCUUUUGUCUGUAAUUAGCCAUGAAGCAAUUCAACAAUGUGUGGAUGACACAGAGCAUUUGCAAACAAGUGGACUGUCUGACAGAAUACUUCGUCUUGAAUCACGUGCUCGACCAGUGCAAGGUGUAGAUUCAUCUGUGAACACACGCGGGUCACGAUGUGACAUCGAUGAGCGUUAUCCCGAUAUGAGCAGCUCUCGGGAAUCCCUUAUGGAUCUGGGUAAUGUGGUGAGUCUGCCACCAGUGCCUGAAGACAGUCUUGGAAACUUCUGCAAACUUGCUGUCAGAACGUCUAGCCUGUCAUCACUGAAAAACUUCCGCAAAGUAAAACUGUGUUUGCAGCGUGCAUCCUCUGAGGAGGAUGAGGACAGUGAAAGUGAAGAACACAGCUUUGCUUCAUCGGAUGAGCAAGGAAGCAGUGACAAGGAAAUGAGGCCAGCUUUUCUGUCGCAAAAAAAGAACAUCAUGCUUGGUAACAUUAAAGAAGAAGUUUGAAGACUUCUGGCACUUGACACCAUUUCCUGGUUUAUUUUGUCUGCAAAAACAUUAAUGGCCUUCUGGAUUUUUUUGUGGGCAACAGCUCCUAGAUAUACUGGAAGAGAGGAGAAUAAUUGUUGCAAAAAUACUUGUAACUUAAGAAGUCAAAUUAUAAGGAAACAAUGUUCACAAAAUAUUCUCUGUUAUAUGACUGCUAUAUAAACUUGAUUUUAUAUCUAAACAUAGCAAUAAAAAUUGUGAAAAACAGGAGCAACCACCUAAUAUUGGGAAAAAGCAGAGAUGUAUAUAGGAAAUCAUGAACAAGCCUCAAACUUCUCUUAGAGUGCUUUAUAUUGUAGUUCCAAGGAAAAUGCACGUUUUGUUUUAGAAAAGUCUGCUGGAGGAUGUGAUAACUCUAAACUACAAUUUUAAAAUAACAAUUUAUAAAGGCUUCAAACAAAUCAUUUUUAAAGUUGUAGUUUAGAAUUAUCAAGACACUUUUCCAGCUUCUGACAGACUUUUCUACGACUGAACAGAUGUACGAGGCAUGAUCAGAAAGUAAGUGUAUUACAUUUUCAAGUGUAUUUGAAAAAGAAAUUACAGGAUAUUGUUGAUAUA